rnacentral:rRNA from 1 species
GACGAAACCUUUACAAUGCACGAAAGUGUGAUAAGGCAACUCCUUGUGCUUAAUCCAAAAGAUAGGCUUUUUAGUUAUGUAAUGUAUACUAAGUAAUAAAGUGAUGGGCAAGACCGGUGCCAGGCAGCCGCGGUAAUACCGGCGUCACAAGUGGAGAUCACGAUUACUGGGUCUAAAGUGUUCGUAGCUGGUCAUAUAAGUCUC